AAAAAAAAAAAAAAAAAUCUAUUUUAAACUACAUGAUGACAAUUUCCCAAGGCCAUCCUUACCCAACACCACAAUCCUCCCUCCCUCUUAAAAAAAAAAAAGUCCUUUUAUAGAGCGGAUAGCCUACUUCAUGAAAUGGUUGCUUGCAUGCUUUUCAAAUUUCAUUGAAUGUUGUGGUAGAGAUGGCUGGAUUUCUGAUUUCUGUUUGAAUGAUAAAUGGCUUUGAACAAUGAAGGAUGUUCUGCUUUUGGUGGUAGAACAACAAGGCAAAAGUUAUUGAGCUUUUUAUCAUUUGAUUAUUUUCUCGGAGUUGGAACAUGAUUCUAUUUUUGAUCUUGCAGUGAGCACAUAAGGUUAUUGGUUAUUUAUUAGCAUGUCUACUUAUUGAUUUUUUUUUUCAUGUUCAUUGAUUGUUUUUAAUAUAAUAAUGUUGAUAAAUUGAUAGUAGUCUUCCCG
rnacentral:misc_RNA from 1 species